rnacentral:rRNA from 2 species
CCCCCCCUAGCCGGGGAACCCUUGGAACCGGUUUUAUCCCCCUAACCCAAGAAACCCCCUGGUUUUUGUUAAAAAUGUUUCGGCUUUCCCUUGGGGAAGGCCCCGCGGCCUUUUAGCUAGUUGGUAAGGUAAGGCCUUCCCAAGGCAAUGAUCCUUACCCGAUUUGAGAGUUGUUCGCCCCCAUGGGACUGAGACCCGGCCCAUAUUCCUACGGGAGGCAGCAGUAGGGAUCUUCCCCAAUGGACGAAAGUCUGAUGGAGCAACGCCGCGUGAGUGAAGAAGGUUUUCGGAUCGUAAAACUCUGUUGUCAGAGAAGAACGUCAGCGAGAGUAACUGUUCGAGCAGUGACGGUAUCUGCCCAGAAAGCCACGGCUAAAUACGUGCCAGCAGCCGCGGUAAUACGUAGGUGCCAAGCGUUGUCCGGAUUUAUUGGGCGUAAAGGGAACGCAGGCGGUCUUUUAAGUCUGAUGUGAAAGCCUUCGGCUUAACCGAAGUCGUGCAUUGGAAACUGGGAGACUUGAGUGCAGAAGAGGAGAGUGGAACUCCAUGUGUAGCGGUGAAAUGCGUAGAUAUAUGGAAGAACACCAGUGGCGAAAGCGGCUCUCUGGUCUGUAACUGACGCUGAGGUUCGAAAGCGUGGGUAGCAAACAGGAUUAGAUACCCUGGUAGUCCACGCUGUAAACGAUGAAUGCUAAGUGUUGGAGGGUUUCCGCCCUUCAGUGCCGCAGCAAACGCAUUAAGCAUUCCGCCUGGGGAGUACGACCGCAAGGUUGAAACUCAAAGGAAUUGACGGGGGCCCGCACAAGCGGUGGAGCAUGUGGUUUAAUUCGAAGCAACGCGAAGAACCUUACCAGGUCUUGACAUCCUCUGAUAACUUCAGAGAUUAGGUGUUCCCUUCGGGGACAGAAUGACAGGUGGUGCAUGGUUGUCGUCAGCUCGUGUCGUGAGAUGUUGGGUUAAGUCCCGCAACGAGCGCAACCCUUAUUGUCAGUUGCCAGCAUUAAGUUGGGCACUCUGGCAAGACUGCCGGUGACAAACCGGAGGAAGGUGGGGAUGACGUCAAAUCAUCAUGCCCCUUAUGACCUGGGCUACACACGUGCUACAAUGGCGGAUACAACGAGUCGCUAGCCCGCGAGGUUAAGCUAAUCUCUGAAAGUCGUUCUCAGUUCGGAUUGCAGGCUGCAACUCGCCUGCAUGAAGUCGGAAUCGCUAGUAAUCGCGGAUCAGCAUGCCGCGGUGAAUACGUUCCCGGGUCUUGUACACACCGCCCGUCACACCAUGAGAGUUUGUAACACCCAAAGCCGGUGGGGUAACCUUA